rnacentral:rRNA from 1 species
GACGAACGCUGGCGGCGUGCCUAAUACAUGCAAGUCGAGCGGACCAAAGGGAGCUUGCUCCUGGAGGUUAGCGGCGAACGGGUGAGUAACACGUGGGCAACCUGCCUGUAAGACUGGGAUAACAUCGAGAAAUCGGUGCUAAUACCGGAUAAUAAAAAGAACUGCAUGGUUCUUUUUUGAAAGAUGGUUUCGGCUAUCACUUACAGAUGGGCCCGCGGCGCAUUAGCUAGUUGGUGGGGUAACGGCUCACCAAGGCGACGAUGCGUAGCCGACCUGACGAGGGUGAUCGGCCACACUGGGACUGAGACACGGCCCAGACUCCUACGGGAGGCAGCAGUAGGGAAUCUUCCGCAAUGGACGAAAGUCUGACGGAGCAACGCCGCGUGAGUGGUGAAGGUUUUCGGAUCGUAAAACUCU